AUGCGCUUUGAAAUCCAGUCCAGACCACACCAGGACCGUUGGUUUGGAAAGGACACAUGAGGGUACUGACUGUCUUGUUUUCAGAGCUCGUUAAAAGUGACAUUUGCUGUACAUUUGGAAUUCCAAAGCCUGUUCAGACAAAUUACGAGCUAAGUCAGUCCCCAACAAAGGCAGUUAGCCUUGUAGAAGUCGGUGAAUUAACUGAUGAAUACCCCUUGGCUGACUAUUUGAUUGGACAUGUGCAGAUGGUAACGUUAAAGAGAUUUUUCUGCUGCAAAGGAUGACAUUGAUGCAGCUUGUGAACUUGCCAUCAGAGGACUGUGUAUCUAUCUUAAUGAGGACUCUAAAGAUCUCAUUCAGGAGUAUGCGGACAUGGAAGAAGAUCUUUUACAGUGUGUGAUUGAGAAGACUACCAUGGACAUCUUCCUGAUAAAGCACACUGCAGACUAUGAAGCCCAUGAUGUAGGCAUUGUGCUAGAGGGUGUAGCAGUGCUUCAGGACCUCAACAGUGUGGAUUUUGCAACUUCAAUGUUUUUGGUCUAAUUUAUGCUCUUAACCUGCAGUACCCCACAAAGUUGCGUUUUACAUAUGAAAUUUAGCAAAAACUCAUCAUGGACUUGGAUGCGGGUGAAUUCUCUAUCAAGGCCCAAAAUUUCACAUCUGAACUCCACCAGUGAGAUGGACUGAUUCUUGAAUGACUACUGAGACUACAAACAAUCAACCUCGGAAAAUUUCAGCAGCCUUCAUGCAAGACCA